CAGUAGCCGCGGUAAUACGAAGGGUGCAAGCGUUACUCGGAAUUACUGGGCGUAAAGCGCACGCAGGCGGUCUGUCAAGUCAGAUGUGAAAUCCCCGGGCUUAACCUGGGAACUGCAUUUGAAACUGGCAGGCUAGAGUCUUGUAGAGGGGGGUAGAAUUCCAGGUGUAGCGGUGAAAUGCGUAGAGAUCUGGAGGAAUACCGGUGGCGAAGGCAGCCCCCUGGGAUAACACUGACGCUCAUGCACGAAAGCGUGGGGAGCAAACAGGAUUAGAUACCCGCGUAGUCCCUGUCUCUUAUAC
rnacentral:rRNA from 1 species